UGCUGGUCUUUGUUUUUGCUGGAUGCCAUGACAGGUAAGUGCAUCAUUCCUCGAUUUAGGUCUAGUGGUUGCAGAGAUUUGUUUCUAAACUGGGGGCUGACACCACGACCGGCGGUGCGUUAUAGGUUCCCACUCCGGGAGGAGUUCGCCGACAGCCUAGAACACCCAGAUCCGGUCCCUCUCGCUGUGCUGCGGACGGGAGAAGCCAGCGCUAUUGUGCUGGAGGAGUCAAACGCGGGAUCUAGAUAAGGGCAACAAGUUGGGUGUCGCCGGCCGGAGGAGUCGCAGGGUGGCAUGCGCCGGUGGCGUGAGGCAUGCUCGGUCUUCCCAGUCGUCCGACAGGUUCAACCCCAAGGCGCCCGAUUGGACAAAAAGGUAUGCGCUGGAUGCAUACCCAAUUUCUCUGCAUUUUGUUGUAGAUGGCUGGAUGUUAGACUGUUGUAGUAUGGUCUAUAUCUUCGUAUUGUAGUUUUCCUUCUCCCUAGAGAGAUUUAAAUCAAGUUCACUGCCCAUGGGAACUUGUUCCUGCAGAAGUGCAGAUAACUUGUUAGUUCUCCUAGUCCGGCAAUUACUUUGAACAGUCAUACUUUGCAGUUGAACCUAAUGAAAAGUAAUGGUUUGCUUGAAAAAUUCAGGUUGCGUCUCGGCAGUGCACCACCCGACAGGAUGCCGUGCCCCUCUAGGAUGAGUGCACAAGAGAAGUCGAUUCGCAAAUACUCGGAGGAGCCAACACAAAGUGUUAUUACACCAGAACUAGGAAUUAGUUUCGACUCACUUGGCGAUGGAUAUGAUUUCUACACCUUGUAUUCGUGCGAGAUCGGCUUGGGAGUUAGGUAUGGAAAGAACAGGCUGAAUGCCGAGAGGACCAAAUCAGCGCGGGAGAUCGUUUGCGGAUGUUGAUUGUGUACUAAGAAAAUGGACUUCAAAUUUGUUACCUGCAGAUCAGCUGAUUUGCAAGUUUCAUGCUAUACUGAGAAGCAACUAUAUGUAACAUGCAUGUAUAUCUGUUUGUUAGAUAGUUGUUGAUUGGAAAGAAUCCACUGGAAUAGAGCAUUUCCUUUUCGCGUCCUACAGUCUCUUUGAGAUAAUUGCAUCACCGAAGAUGUAUUUAGUGGUUUUCUCAUGUAAUGCGCUGCAGCAACAUAUCUCUGAUGCUCGCUGUCAGUGUACUGAAACCUUCAUCUGAGUUUGAGGUUAUCUAAGUGUAUAGAAACUGAAAGUUACAUGUUUAAUUUCCAUUAUAUGUGGGUUUCUUCAUAUUUCUGUUAACUGUAGAUGCUCUAGAGUCUGCAUAUGAAAUCAUGGAUAAUUUGUUGUUGUGCACUGUUAUGUCAGCAACUCCGCCUAUGUCUUCUAGGCAUAGCCGGUCCCAAGCCCGGGUAAAGGAGGAGGGUUGUGAUAGGCUUGGCGAGCCAACGUAAAAACUAGCCAGUCCCAUAGGUAUGAAACCGAUUUGAGCGAGAGUAGUACUAGGAUGGGUGACCUCCUGGGAAGUCCUUGUGAAAGAGUUUCAUAUCUAAGGGUUGUGAUAGGCUUGGCGAGCCAACGUAAAAACUAGCCAGUCUUUUGGGUAUGAAACCCAUUUGGGCGAGAGUAGUACUAGGAUGGGUGACCUCCUGGGAAGUCCUCGUGAAAGGGUUUCAUAUCUAGCCUACCCCAACUUGUUUGGGAUCAAAGGCUUCGUAAGAAUGAGAGAGGCACUGUUAUGUCAGCGGUACUUCCAUUUUUGACAUUUCAAAAUAUUUUGCAGGAGGAUGUGCUCCAUGCAAGAGGAAGGACAAACGGGGUAGUAGAAAUUCAUCUUAGGUAAUAGGCUUACCUGAGGUUUGCAUAUUUCUUCUCCUCUCUACUUGUUACGGAAUAGCAGACUGAAGUUAACUUCGUGCGUACUGAAAAAAAUGCUUAAUUGCUCUUUGAGGCAGGACAUUCAAUUGAACAUACAACUGUUCAUAAAUUUGGGGCUGACAUUUUACAUUGAUUAAUUUGCAGGGGAAGCAAGCAGAGAACAGUAGAUAGUGCCUGCCGUUCUGGAAUCAGCCUGGCACAGAAUAAUGCCUGAGCCGUUCUCCAGUUAGUUGUUCCGUCUCUCCCUUAUGCUGUGGCCGCAUUUAAUGCACCCACAGGCAGGCUUCAUUUUCCGUCCAUACAUCUGCUAUACAGAGUAAAAUACAGCACUGCUUCACGCAUCCCCAUGCAAGUGAAUGGUGGUGAUUUCAGGAUCAGCUGAGCCUGGGCUCAUAAACGAAUAUCCGGUAUUUUCUGCAAUGUCUCUUUCCUUUGGAAGAGAGAGGUCAGCAACUGCAAACUCAAUGACUGAAGCUUCAAAUAGUACUGAAUUCUUCUCAUCAAUUUUAGAAAGAUAGCCUCCGGCCCUGAUUACUUCACCUUUCUCCAAUAACACCCUGUCCACAUGUUUUUUUGCAACUGAGAGUUGAGAGCGCAGCUAGUCUUCUCCAUUGUUGAGAAGAUAUUGUCUACCCCUUCCAGGUCACAAGACUAAGAAAAUAAUCAACUCCUGCGAUCUCCACAACAGAAAGCCAAAAAAAGAAUGCAGUAUUUAUUUGGUUUCAGAGACAAGCAUUGUGUUUCAACCAAAGGAGCUACUUUUAAGCGUACUGGUAUUGACUGGCUGACUGAUCAUGACCAUACAGAAUAUGUGUAAUGCGUGCAUCCAUUGGAGGCAUCCAAAUUGCACAACUUUUUAUCUAAAGAAAUUCUUCAAGGUAAUCGCACAACACCCUAGAAUGUACCAUGACAAAUGUUUGAGAUGAGAAUUCCAAUGGCAGUAAAGCGCUGAUCCUUCACGCUCUGUUCAUGAUAAGUCCGUCAGUCAAUACAAUAAGAAUAAAGGUAAAU
rnacentral:lncRNA from 1 species